AUACGGAGGGGGCUAGCGUUGUUCGGAAUUACUGGGCGUAAAGCGCGCGUAGGCGGACCGUUAAGUCGGGGGUGAAAUCCCGGGGCUCAACCCCGGAACUGCCUCCGAUACUGACGGUCUUGAGGUCGAGAGAGGUGAGUGGAAUUCCGAGUGUAGAGGUGAAAUUCGUAGAUAUUCGGAGGAACACCAGUGGCGAAGGCGGCUCACUGGCUCGAUUCUGACGCUGAGGUGCGAAAGCGUGGGGAGCAAACAGGAUUAGAUACCCCAGUAGUCC
rnacentral:rRNA from 1 species